rnacentral:lncRNA from 1 species
GAUGCAGCUUCCAAAUCAAUGAUCGGCUCCGUUAGACUUAAUCUACACUAUUAAAGUAUUUAGAAACUAAAUUUCAUAACUUUUCGAUAUCAUUUACCUAUCAAACAAGUAGUCUAAAAUUAAACGGCUGAAAAUAAAAAUCUCAUAAAAAAUGAUAAUAAAAGAUUUAAAUUUAAGAUCAGAUAUACUGAUCUUACUCUAAAUAGUGAAAAAAAUUUUCUAUAAAAUUUUCAUCGGAUUUGGAUUGUUUUACACCGUUAAACUCACAAAGACACUACAUCGGCCUUUAAAAUUGUCAAUUUUGAGAUCUUUUGAUCACUAGUCAAAUGAUGUCGAAAAAAUCUGAAAUUUAGUUUCCAAAUACUUUUAAUAGUGUAAAUCAAGUCUAAUGGAGCCGAUCGUCGAUUUGGAAGCCGCAUCAUCGAAAACAACUUAGUAGCAGGGAGCGCUCCGUGCUACCGAUAGUAUAGUAGCCGGACUCUUUAU